rnacentral:rRNA from 1 species
GAUGAACGCUGGCGGCGUGCCUAAUACAUGCAAGUCGAGCGAACAGACGAGGAGCUUGCUCCUCUGACGUUAGCGGCGGACGGGUGAGUAACACGUGGAUAACCUACCUAUAAGACUGGGAUAACUUCGGGAGACCGGAGCUAAUACCGGAUAAUAUAUUGAACCGCAUGGUUCAAUAGUGAAAGACGGUUUUGCUGUCACUUAUAGAUGGAUCCGCGCCGCAUUAGCUAGUUGGUAAGGUAACGGCUUACCAAGGCAACGAUGCGUAGCCGACCUGAGGGGGUGAUCGGCCACACUGGAACUGAGACACGGUCCAGACUCCUACGGGAGGCAGCAGUAGGGAAUCUUCCGCAAUGGGCGAAAGCCUGACGGAGCAACGCCGCGUGAGUGAUGAAGGUCUUCGGAUCGUAAAACUCUGUUAUUAGGGAAGAACAAAUGUGUAAGUAACUAUGCACGUCUUGACGGUACCUAAUCAGAAAGCCACGGCUAACUACGUG